AACAUCACACUGUGCUCGGUCGUCUUUGUCGGCGUCAUCCUAACAGCGAUUGUUCGACCAGACUAUCGGCGUCAGGCAGCCGAGACGCAGGUUUUGGAGAAGAUAAACCAUCUUGAAUUAACGAUAGCACCGCCAGAUAAGAGCACAGGGGAGACAACUCUACCUGGCCUAGCAGAGCCUGACUCUGAUGGACAGUUAAAGCAGCCUCUGACCCAGUGACCAGCAGAGCUCUGUUGACAUGGCCGUGCUUGUAUCCAGGAGGGAAUCGGCAUCCCACAGCUCAGGAAAUACACACGAAGUACAGUGUCGCGGUGGGAAUAGGAAUGGACUUAAAACCAGCUUUUACCUUCACAGGUAUGAACGGAUGUUCCGUCUCCUUGGAGACGGUGAGGAAGUCACGUGAUCUGAUCGACAUGAAAGUGGUACUAUUGUAAUUGUUUUCCAUAAUUGUGUUUCUAGAGAUAUAAUCGGGAUGCCGCCACGAACGCUCGUACUCGGAUGGUUAUGGAAAACGUCAUGGUUGUUUAUAACGUGUGAUAAUGAAUGGAAAACAUCUGGCCCAUCCAUCUACACACCUGACGACAGGCCGGGUUUGAUUACCUACAUGAGUUAAAUGUGUGAAGCCUGUGUUGAGAUAUUGCUCAAACAUUACUAAAAGCGGCGUAAAAUCAUAACCCCUUGUACUCGCAGAUUCCCGCAGAGGCACGUACACACAAACUCACAGUGAGAUUGAGAAAUAUUUCAGUGUGCAGAAGACUGAAUGCCUUUAUAAAAUCAGCAGGACUUUUUAAAUCUGCAUUUAUUAUACAAAACUGCGUGCUUUUUAUAAAAAAGAGUCUUAACUAAAUUGUGCAAAUUCGUUUA